AAAAGCCAACAUCAAUAAACAGUUGACAACUUGGGAAUAACAGCGAGGAACUGGCAGAAGGGGUUGGCUGAAAGGGGAGAGAGACUCCUGCUACUCCUCCUCCUCCUACUUCUGCACUUUGUUUAUUGAAGUGCGCUAAACUUUUUAGUCGCCGUCGACGUUUACGUCUCGACUUGUUAAUAUUGAGCAGCGCAUUAUUUAUGGCAAACUUUCCACCAAAACACUUUCAAUUGAGCUGCAGAGAAGGGGCAGGGACAGAGCGGAGAGAAAGGUGAGACAGAGGUGUAUUCUUGAGUGUAACUUUUAACGAGUUCUCUUAGUUCAGUCGAGUUGUUGGCCCCCAUGCACCUCCUCCUCCUGGUUGCUGCCAUCAGCUGCCAUUUUCUCACUUGCAUCGAGAGGCAGUGCAAAACUUAUUCACAGUAUCCUUCACAACCAAUAACUUAAAGCCUGUGGCAGGUAGCCCCAGAGAGUGCGGAGAGGGCAGGGUACGGAGGAAACGGUGGAGUCGAGUGCCAUGUUCGUGGCCACAGGAACCAACCAUAAGCAUUUCAUUAUUAGAACACAAAAAUGUUUAAAAUUUCAUUAAAUGGCUCUGUUGUCCGG
rnacentral:lncRNA from 1 species